rnacentral:pre_miRNA from 13 species
AUUGGGCUAGUCACUGAAGUUACCCAAACACUGGCACUGACUUGACAUUUUCAGAUACAGUAAGUGCUACUUGUUGGGGUAAUUUUAUUGA